rnacentral:rRNA from 1 species
CCUACGGGUGGCAGCAGUGAAGAAUAUUGGUCAAUGGCCGGAAGGCUGAACCAGCCAUGCCGCGUGAAGGUCAGUGCCCUAUGGGCGUUAAACUUCUUUUGUGCGGGAGCAAUAAUGGUCACGUGUGGCCAGACGAGAGUACCGUACGAAUAAGCAUCGGCUAACUCCGUGCCAGCAGCCGCGGUAAUACGGGGGAUGCAAGCGUUAUCCGGAUUUAAUGGGUUUAAAGGGUGCGUAGGCUGUGAGGUAAGGCAGCGGUGAAAUGCCCCCGCUCAACGGGGUGAAGUGACAUUGAUACUGGCUAGCUUGAAUGCGGAUGCGGUGGGAGGAAUGUGUGGUGUAGCGGUGAAAUGCAUAGAUAUCACACAGAACACCGAUUGCGAAGGCAUCUCACGAGUCCGCGAUUGACGCUGAUGCACGAAAGCGUGGGUAUCAAACAGGAUUAGAUACCCCAGUAGUC